GAUCCGUGAGGUUAUCACCCAAAGCAUCCUCCAGGGCUUGAGAACACACGCAAAUGGUGAGGAAAGAAGGUAGAUGACCGUAAUUCAUUCCCAAAGGCCAAGACAGCCUUAAGGGCAGAUGUGUGUAGAAAGGCAGUUUCAUGGAAGUGCAAGGGGAGUUAUGAACGACCCUGUGGUAGGUUUUCACCACUGAUGAACACGUCCUAGGCUUCCUCUGCAUCUUGGGAACACACGCAAAUACCCAGGAGAGAAGGGAGAA
rnacentral:lncRNA from 1 species